CCUCCGUUCUUCCGCCGUUCUUACUAUUGGUCCAUGGUCGGGAGACUGAACCAGCCAAGCCGCGUGAGGGAUGAAGGUACAGAGUAUCGUAAACCUCUUUUGUCAGGGAACAAAGGCGGGGACGUGUCCCCGGAUGAGUGUACCUGAAGAAAAAGCAUCGGCUAACUCCGUGCCAGCAGCCGCGGUAAUACGGAGGAUGCGAGCGUUAUCCGGAUUUAUUGGGUUUAAAGGGUGCGCAGGCGGUCUGUUAAGUCAGCGGUCAAAGCCCGGGGCUCAACCCCGGCCCGCCGUUGAAACUGGCAGUCUCGAGUUGGAGAGAAGUAUGCGGAAGGCGCGGUGUAGCGGUGAAAUGCAUAGAUAUCGCGCAGAACUCCGAUUGCGAAGGCAGCAUGCCGGCUCCACACUGACGCUGAGGCACGAAAGCGUGGGUAUCGAACAGGAUUAGAUACCCCGGUAGUC
rnacentral:rRNA from 1 species